ACAUUAGCACAUCUAAAGCGACUGCAACGGUCAACACUGAGCAUCGCCACCUUUAAGUGUCAGUCGAGUUAAUAGCAACCAGCAAAUCUUUGGAAAGAGGAAGUCUGUUUUGGGUUCAGAGUAGUAGAUCAAACGGUGAACAUGCAUGUGUCUAUCUUUGUGCGCCACAUGCUUUGUUUUUUCACUCUGUCCAUGGUGAUCCUGUCUUUCACAGACCAAGGUCAAUGUUUUAGGGUGGAAGUUAGCUAUUGCACAAGGUAUGACAGGAAAGUAGCGGGACAGGUCAUUGCCUGCUAUGAACAAGAGAUUGGAAGGAAAAGCCCGAUUCAUGCAUUUCAACUGAAGUUAAAAAACGGCAGAACUAGAUGCAUCCAUCCCGAAGAACCCUGGCUCCAAAAGAAGCUGGAGAAAGACAAUAUAACGUGUGUUCCACUACUGGGUUAGUUAAAGGAAUCUCUUCUAGUCUCUACAAAGGAAAGGACACGCAACCUGCACAGAACACUUUUAUUUAUCUGUUUAUCUUUAAGUUGGGCAUUAUGUUCUUUGUCAUACCAAUUGUUUAAGCAGUAUUAAGCUGGUCAUCAUGCAAACUAAAAUAAUUUCAUUUAAUUUAUAAUCUUAAUUUAUUGACAUAU